AUCAAAGAUCCUUCUUCUGGCAAGGUUGAGCUUGCGAUUGCCAGUGGUCUGGGGAACUCAUUCCCAGUUAGAGCUUUUGAGCUCGAGGAUGAUAAGGAUGAUCGCCAGAAUAACAGAAACUAAUUAACUUAUAGUCAAAUUACUAUAAGAAAAUAAAUCUGAUGGGAAGUCUUUUAGGAUUUAAGUAGCCUUUCAGGAAGUUGUACUUCUACCAAUUGUCUUAUAAGAUCAAACAGCAGUUUGUAUGUUUACUAAUAGUCUGAUAAACUUUAAGAUGAGUAGCAUGAAACUCCGGAGUUCUCUUUUCAAAAUCCCUUUUAUUUCUCAGCAAUCAAAUCUAAUAAAAGUAAAAAAGUAAUAUUAAUUUACAGUUUUUUUUUGGACUGAAUUAGAAAUAAGAUCAGUUCCCUACAUAUUAAGCAGAAAUGCGUAUCAG
rnacentral:misc_RNA from 1 species